rnacentral:rRNA from 1 species
CGCGGCCUAUCAGCUUGUUGGUGGGGUAACGGCCUACCAAGGCAACGACGGGUAGCUGGUCUGAGAGGACGAUCAGCCACACUGGGACUGAGACACGGCCCAGACUCCUACGGGAGGCAGCAGUAGGGAAUCUUGCGCAAUGGGCGAGAGCCUGACGCAGCGACGCCGCGUGCGGGAUGAAGGCCUUCGGGUCGUAAACCGCUUUCAGCAGGGACGAAAUUGACGGUACCUGCAGAAGAAGGCCCGGCCAACUACGUGCCAGCAGCCGCGGUGAUACGUAGGGGUCUAGCGUUGUCCGGAAUCAUUGGGCGUAAAGAGCUCGUAGGCGGUUCGGCAAGUCGGAUGUGAAAUCUCCACGCUCAACGUGGAGGGGCCAUUCGAAACUGCUGUGACUCGAGUCCGGUAGGGGAGUUCGGAAUUCCCGGUGUAGCGGUGAAAUGCACAGAUAACGGGAGGAACACCAGUGGCGAAGGCGGAACUCUGGGCCGGAACUGACGCUGAGGAGCGAAAGCGUGGGGAGCGAACAGGAUUAGAUACCCUGGUAGUCCACGCCGUAAACGUUGGGCACUAGGUGUGGGGUUCUAUCGACGGAUUCCGUGCCGUAGCUAACGCAUUAAGUGCCCCGCCUGGGGAGUAC